UCGUGCACGUAAGAAAAAUAUAAACACUUGACUUGUGCAUGAAAAUAGUAAUAGCAUCUACUAUUAUCUUUCCGAAAGUAUCGCCACAGUCAUGCACAUAUGAAAGAAGAUAUGCCAUAUGUUAUCAUUUUCAAGACCAAGUUAACAAAGUUUUGCAACUUUCGUGACUAAUUGUUUCAACACAGAA